rnacentral:tRNA from 1 species
GCAGGGAAAGCUCAAUGGUAGAGGAUCUGCUUUACAUGCAGAAGGUCCCAGGUUCAAUCCUUGGCAUUUGCA